rnacentral:rRNA from 1 species
AACGUAGGAGACAAACGUUAUCCGGAGUUACUGGGCGUAAAGGGCGUGCAGGCGGUCGACUAAGUCUGGCGUGAAAGCUCUCGGCUAAACCGGGAGAGGUCGUUGGAUACUGGUUGACUAGAGGACGGUAGAGGCGUGUGGAAUUCCGGGUGUAGUGGUGAAAUGCGCAGAUAUCAGGAGGAACACCGGUGGCGAAGGCGGAUCUCUGGGCCUUACCUGACGCUCAGGCGCGAAAGCUAGGGGAGCGAACAGG